UCUCAGUUUUUACUUUACACCUUGAGUUAUCCUGUAGUUUGCAUUGACUUUUAAGUCUUAUACACACUUCAAGGAGCAGGGCUAUAUAGGGUGGGAAUUCUCCCAAUUAAUCUGUCCAUGUUUGUUUAAUUAUUCAGAUUAAGGGUUUGAGAGAAACCCCAAUCUAUCUAAUGAAGGCAAUGUCCAUCACAAUAAGAAGUAAAUAAAGUGUUCAAGUUGAACACCUUGCUCGCUGCUCCAGGCCUCCAGUUGGUUAUCUCCAUUCUCCCGUGAGCUUAUUUUUGUAUCCUAGCAGUUUCUCUCUGCUCCAGUGCUCCCUCACGUGGCUGCUUUUUCUCCCCCUUCUCUUUCUCCUUACUCGAUUGAGGCCGGCGUUUGUUGUUUUCUUCUUUCUAUUUAAUUGUUGUGUGUGUGAGUAAAGUAUGAGGCAGUAACCUAACUGUAGCUUUCCAGAUACUAGGGGCUUGCCCGCGGAUCAAUUUUUCACUACAGCCAGGGGUGUGUGAACUGUGAAGAGGUGUUACUUUCCUUUUUGAAUUUGAUAUGAUGACUUGUUUUUUUUGGACAAGCAGUUAGCAGAUUUAAUUUCUUAAUUGUUGGGAAGUUGCACAAGCCUAUAUAUGUCAUUGCUGGGUUUAUUUUAUCUUGAUAAUUGUGUUUUGGAUAUAUUUGUGUCAGGGAAUUCUCCAAUAACAAGGCAAGCUUCUUAAAAAGAAGAGAUUUAUGCCAUCAUCUCUGACAUCAAAUUCUCAUCGCUUGUUGACGGCACUUUUGGACUCAAGGCAUAAAAAGGUCUACAAGGUUAAGAACUGUAUAACUGACGUUGAUCUUGAGAAGGAGAAGGAGCAAAAAGAAAAGGUAAUUGGUAUCAUUGAAAAGCUUUUACUUAUAAACUGUAUGGUUGUGCACAUGUUAAAAAUAUGUAUUUGCAGGCCGAAAGUCAGACUAUCAAAGUCAAUUCGAUUCUAAACAAGAAGCAAGAGAGAGUGAAUCGGAUGUACAAAAAAUCAUCAGAUUGAGGACGACAACUUUCUCCUGGAUUGUUAGAGGACGCACUUGAAGAGGACAUUUGCAAAACCUUAAAUACGAUGAGGGAGAUUGCUGUAAAAUGAAGAAACACUCAAUGCAUCUCAAGAGGCUACUAAACUUUUAUUGAGUUUCGAAGGUAGUCUGUCAACGGAGAUUGUCCUUAUCCAAUCGCCCUGAUUGCACCACUUAGGAGGAAAAGAUGGUUCAAAAGGCAGAGAAGCUCACAAAAGAGGAUAAGGAGUAGAGAUAUGCAAUUGCCACCAAGAACCAAGCUGAUUCUCAGAAGCGGCUGAAGGAGUUGGGAGAAAAAAUCCCCGAUGUAGUAAAGGAGAAAGUUCAAACCAAACUAAAAGACCUCAAGGGAUGCUAUGGAAGGUGGCAUUACUUAGAAAAUUAAGGAUGCCAUAGCUAUAGUAAACCAGGAAGUAAUGUAGAUGGGGCAAUCUUUGUACAGUCAACCAGGAGUAGUUGGGGCACGUUCUACAAUGAGAACUCCUGCUGAUUCGACUGAAUCUACUAGCCAGUACAAAUGAUACCGAUAAAUGCUAAUAUCUCAGCAGCGACAGAACAUCGAUUUUGGGUUCCUUGGUACGCCAGUUACCCCUAUAAGCAAUUUGACAUGAUU